CAAUUCGGGUGCAUCAAAUUCAGAAAUUACUAUAGCGUAGUACUACAGAAAUAUGCUAUUGUGCUUAUAAAUGUUAAAAUAAGGCAUUGUUGUUCUUGUUAUGGCUUCGACAAGUUCGGCAUACGAUUCAGAACGCAAAAUUCUUCCAAUUCUGGGUGCUGGAGACGCAUAUACAACGACGGAGGCGAUUUUCAUCGAACUAUUUAGCUGCUGCAAAUCAACGCGGUGAAUUAACUGAAGAAAUAUCGCGUUCAGUUGAAGAAGUAAGUCCUUUAUACUGUGUCCAAUUAAACAAUAUGUAGUGAGAUACCUUAGACUUAAUAUUCGACUUAUAUUUGUCGUUUAGAUUGAAGGAUUAAAGCAAUUCCUGUGCGAAUAUCGACGCAGUAUUAAGCACUGGACAAAUUCUAC